rnacentral:ncRNA from 2 species
CGCCGUCAAGGCGAUGGGGUUCGCCUGAACCGCCCGACGCGUCGGGCUGAUGACCCCUACCGGGAG